rnacentral:rRNA from 1 species
UACGUAGGGGGCAAGCGUUGUUCGGAAUUACUGGGCGUAAAGGGCUCGUAGGCGGCCAACUAAGUCAGACGUGAAAUCCCUCGGCUUAACCGGGGAACUGCGUCUGAUACUGGAUGGCUUGAGUUUGGGAGAGGGAUGCGGAAUUCCAGGUGUAGCGGUGAAAUGCGUAGAUAUCUGGAGGAACACCGGUGGCGAAGGCGGCAUCCUGGACCAACACUGACGCUGAGUGAGCGAAAGCCAGGGGAGCAAACGGGG